rnacentral:rRNA from 1 species
GAUGAACGCUGGCGGCGUGCCUAACACAUGCAAGUCGUACGAGCUCGAUCUUCGGAACGGGGUUAGUGGCGCACGGGUGAGUAACACGUAGGUGACCUACCCCAGAGUGGGGGAUAACUUCUCGAAAGAGAGGCUAAUACCGCAUACACUCGGUCAUUCAUUUGGCCGAGCAAAGCUCCGGCGCUUUGGGACGGGCCUGCGUCCGAUUAGCUAGUUGGUAGGGUAAUGGCUUACCAAGGCUUUGAUCGGUAGCUGGUCUUGAGAGGACGAUCAGCCACACUGGCACUGACACACGGGCCAGACU